UACGAAGGGGGCUAGCGUUGUUCGGAUUUACUGGGCGUAAAGCGCACGUAGGCGGAUCGUUAAGUCGGGGGUGAAAUCCUGGAGCUCAACUCCAGAACUGCCUUCGAUACUGGCGAUCUUGAGUCCGGAAGAGGUGAGUGGAACUCCUAGUGUAGAGGUGGAAUUCGUAGAUAUUAGGAAGAACACCAGUGGCGAAGGCGGCUCACUGGUCCGGUACUGACGCUGAGGUGCGAAAGCGUGGGGAGCAAAUAGG
rnacentral:rRNA from 1 species